rnacentral:misc_RNA from 1 species
UACCCUGUUCGAGCGUCAUUUACACCCCUCAAAGAUAACUUUUUGGCGUUGGGCAAUGCCUAAAGGCAUGCCUCAAAAUCAGCGAUGGUGAUAUUCAACCACAGGCGCACAAACGUCGUCUAGCUGGCGGGAUGUUGUCAGUCAAUUGAUGAAUUUCUAAUGUUGACCUCGGAUCAGGUAGGAAUACCCGCUGAACUUAA